AAGACUAUACUUUCAGGGAUCAUUUCUAUAGUUUGUAACUGGUGGAAUCUGUUUGAAAGUGUCUAAACUCAGUAACCACAAGGAAGAACUUCAGGGUUUUCUUCUGAGCAUGAGAUGAGUUCCUGUAACUUCUGUAUGAAGUCGCUGGUUACUAUUGAUGAAUGUACUUGGUUCCUUAAAUUGGACUUAUGAUGGAGAAAUCCCAAUCUGAGUGGU